UACAGAGGUCUCAAGCGUUGUUCGGAUUCAUUGGGCGUAAAGGGAGCGUAGGUGGCGUCGUAAGUCAGGUGUGAAAUCUCGGGGCUCAACCCCGAAACUGCACCCGAUACUGCGAUGCUAGAGUACUGGAGAGGAGAUUGGAAUUUACGGCGUAGCAGUGAAAUGCGUAGAUAUCGUAAGGAAGACCAGUGGCGAAGGCGAAUCUCUGGACAGUUACUGACACUGAGGCUCGAAGGCCAGGGGAGCAAACGGG
rnacentral:rRNA from 1 species